CAGGUUUAAAAAUUAUCUUAAAAAUAUAUGUCUUGCUGGGAUCUGCCCAAUGCGGAUUGGCAAAAAGACUCUGCUCAUUAAAAUCUUUGCAUUUUAAUGCAAAGCAUUGAAAACCUUGUCUCUAAAAUCACAACCUGUGAGACACCUUGCUGAUUUAGAAAGCACAUCAGAGAUUGGCCCUGAGCUCCCCUUAGAACAGUGCCCCACCAGGUGUGGGGAUGGCCCAGGGGACUCAGGAGAGCAGGUUCAAAUGAAAGCUCCCCAUAGCUACUAACUGCCAGCGCUUGCUUUGGGCCUGUUCCCCCUGGGCAAGGACCAGCCAUCCUUCCAAGCCGUGCACAAAUACCCCCUCCCAUGUGUGUCCCUCAUCUUCCCACAUGAAGGAACACCCUCCUGCUCCCUGAGGCCUGGAUCCACAGUGAUGGAGCGUAUCCGGAUCUCCCUGUGUGACAAAUGCUCACACAUUUCUUUGCUUCUCUACUGGAAGCAUGAGGUCUUUGAGAAUAUACUAGAUCUGUUUACAGCUUUUGAGGGAAAAAAGCCCUAGUGGCCUACUGUUGCUCAAUUAGAAUGUGAUCAAUUGUGUUUCCCAUGGGAGCAGGAGGCAAGGGAGGGGUCUAUGCAUGCGUGGAGCUCACUUUGCAGCACACCCAUCUGUGGCCAACCAUUGAUGCCUGGAUCCAUGGCUGCACCCACACCUCUGCUCAGUCCCUGGAUGGUCCCUGCAGCCAUCCUCAAAAGGAAACCCCAAUUCCACCAAUCUGCUGCCCCACUCAAAUGUGAGGACCGCACAUGCCUGAGCUCCUGCUGUCUGCACACCACGCACCGUGGGGGUUCCUUAUGACCAGAGACACAGUCUGAAACAAACCUGAAUUUGCUAAACCCUCUAGAGCUCAACAGGACCUAAGCCUUGAUAUGGUUCUGUGUGCUCCUCCCAGGGCGCCCGCUGUCCCCGAGCUCCGGGCCUGAGUGCUGGCUGGCGGAGACCGCACAGUGGGUGCCCCGCUGCCGGACGAUGCCCCUGGGCUUCCAGAUCCAGAGCCUCGGGACGAAACUGUUUUAGGAAGACCCGGAAGGACUCGCCGGUCGCGGCAAGGGACAGGCGGUUCCUGAGACAGGAGGAGCCAGGAAAUGCGGGGCCUGGUGGGGUGAGGAGCACGGGGUUCCUCCUUCAUCCUCGCGGGGACUUUGCCACCGGCUCAGUGUGGAGGCCUCACCGUCCCGCCCGGAUCCGUGGGGCUCCGACAGUGUGGCCCCUGCGAGGACACCCCUAUCCUCCUUGCCCUGGGGCUGCUGCGGGAGGGCGCCCGGGCCGCACUAGGUCCUGAGUGUCCAGGGUCCGGCAGGGGCUUCCCGUUGUCGCCUCCCUGACCCCGCCGCUUGCGGUCCAGGGCUGCUGGUUUCUUCGCUGGGCUGGGAGGCCCUAGCAUGGACGUCGUGAGGCGGAGAAAACCUUGGCAUAGGUGGAAAAGAAGGAUUGGAGGGAGGGCGGCAGAAAGAGAGAGGAAGGAAACAGGGCCGGAGAACAAUGAGAAACCCCCACCACGAAAAUGGGGAGAGGGGGACACGCACAGCCCCCACACUCCACCGACUCUCCGUCUCCUGCUCUCUGCCCAGUAAGGAACACAGGCCCCACCCCCUCCACCCUCAACUGUGUUUGGGAUCAGCCAUUUCAGCGGGGUGAGGCGUCCCCUUGCGGGUGCGAUUGGCAUUUCCCCGAGGGUUGUGAACACUGAACACCUUUUCCUGGGCUCACUGCCAUUUGCAUUCUUCUUCUGAUGCCAGCGGGAAAGGGGAGGUCCCCAAACGCCGGUGGGACCUCGACUCCAGCCAGUGUCCAGACUCUUGAUAUUGCCGGGGAAAUGAAUUCAAGGACCAGUAGGAAAUAGAGAAAGGAGGGAGAUUUAUUGUAAAAGGCAAAGUACACAGUCAAGUAAAGGGAGUGCAGGGGAACUCAAGAGAGAAGCAGGUGCAAGUUUGGGGCUGCCACCUUUCUGGGUUUCUUUAACCAAGGAGUGGAAUAUUCAUGAAAAUUCCUGGAAGAAGGUAGAGAUUUCUCAGAACUGUGGUGCCCCGCAGUUUUACACUAAAUAUAAGUGUUCUCAGAACUGCUCAGGAGCUGGCUGGUGUGUGUUUAGUAUGUUAAUCAGCAUGUAAUGAGGUCCUAGGUGAAACCUAGGUCAAAUGCAGGGCCUUGUUGGGUCCAGUCAUUCUUAGCCAGCUUGGUCCACAUGCUGUUUUUCAGCAUCUUAUCAGCCCAGAGCCUCUGCACAUAUUUCAACAGAUUUCUUGUGCUAGUCACCUGAAACUGCUGCCUGAAAUUUUCUGCUUUUGCGACCACCGUGUAGUAUACCUGUCUUACUUUGGAGAAAUGUCUAUUCAAAUUCCUUGCAUA
rnacentral:lncRNA from 1 species